rnacentral:rRNA from 1 species
GACGUAGGGCGCGAGCGUUGUCCGGAUUUAUUGGGCGUAAAGAGCUCGUAGGCGGCUUGUCGCGUCGUCUGUGAAAUCCCGCGGCUCAACCGCGGGUCUGCAGUCGAUACGGGCAGGCUAGAGUUCGGUAGGGGAGACUGGAAUUCCUGGUGUAGCGGUGAAAUGCGCAGAUAUCAGGAGGAACACCGGUGGCGGAAGGCGGGUCUCUGGGCCGAAUGACUG